rnacentral:pre_miRNA from 1 species
UCUUAUGAACAAGCAAAGAAAAUGGUUUCUUUAGAUGGAAACUUCUCCUGGUGAAGAUGCUGUGAA